GUCUUUGGCCAUACCGCCCUAAACGUGCCCGAUCUUGUCUGAUCUCCUAAGCUAAGCAGGGCCGGGGCUGGUUAGUACAUGGAUGGGAGAAGUUCUAGGGAGUAGCAGAUCUGGCUUGUGGUC
rfam:Heterocephalus glaber contig80963, whole genome shotgun sequence.